UACGGAGGAGGCAAGCGUUAUCCGGAAUUAUUGGGCGUAAAGCGUCCGUAGGUGGUUAGCCAAGUCAGCGGUUAAAGCGUGGAGCUUAACUCCAUAAGGGCCGUUGAAACUGGUUAGCUAGAGUGCGAUAGGGGCAAGGGGAAUUCCCAGUGUAGCGGUGAAAUGCGUAGAUAUUGGGAAGAACAUCGGUGGCGAAAGCGCCUUGCUGGGUCUGCACUGACACUGAGGGACGAAAGCUAGGGGAGCGAAA
rnacentral:rRNA from 1 species